rnacentral:rRNA from 1 species
GUAGGGUGCAAGCGUUAAUCGGAAUUACUGGGCGUAAAGCGUGCGCAGGCGGUUAUGCAAGACAGAGGUGAAAUCCCCGGGCUCAACCUGGGAACUGCCUUUGUGACUGCAUGGCUAGAGUACGGUAGAGGGGGAUGGAAUUCCGCGUGUAGCAGUGAAAUGCGUAGAUAUGCGGAGGAACACCGAUGGCGAAGGCAAUCCCCUGGACCUGUACUGACGCUCAUGCACGAAAGCGUGGGGAGCAAACAGGAUUAGAUACCCUGGUAGUCCACGCCCUAAACGAUGUCAACUGGUUGUUGGGAGGGUUUCUUCUCAGUAACGUAGCUAACGCGUGAAGUUGACCGCCUGGGGAGUACGGCCGCAAGGUG